rnacentral:rRNA from 1 species
AUACGGAGGAUCCGAGCGUUAUCCGGAUUUAUUGGGUUUAAAGGGAGCGUAGGCGGACGCUUAAGUCAGUUGUGAAAGUUUGCGGCUCAACCGUAAAAUUGCAGUUGAUACUGGGUGUCUUGAGUACGGUAGAGGCAGGCGGAAUUUGUGGUGUGGCGGUGGAAUGCUUAGAUAUCACGAAGAACUCCGAUUGCGAAGGCAGCCUGCUGGACUGUAACUGACGCUGAUGCUCGAAAGUGUGGGUAUCAAACAGGAUUAGAUACCCUGGUAGUCCACACAGUAAACGAUGAAUACUCGCUGUUUGCGAUAUACAGUAAGCGGCCAAGCGAAAGCGUUAAGUAUUCCACCUGGGGAGUACGCCGGCAACGGUGAAACUUAAAGGAAUUGACGGGG